rnacentral:lncRNA from 1 species
AACGUUAAACCACCUCCACAACUUGAACGUCUCAGAUCAUUAUGAUUUUGUGGUUCGUGCUUAUUAUUUUACACAUGAGUUCUUCAGAUCUGGCUUUGUAUUCUUCAUGUCUUUGAUCUUCAAAAGAAAUUUGUUGUUUUUCGUCUGUGGAUGUGCAUGUUUAGACACUAUCAAAUCGGCACAAUCGAACAUUAUCAGAUAUGCGAUAUCCGACAAACUGUUACCUCGACCUGCCAUCUCCAGUGGUAUGUUGACAGAUUUAUGAUUCUAGUGACUAUCCUUGGUAAUUUUUGCUCAGGUUUGAUCUGAUUAAUUUCAGCUUUUUUUUCUUGACUCUAAUGGUGUUCCUACUCCAUAUUUGUCUAGAUCUGGUUAGAUCUAAGUGAAUUCGAGUUUCAACAACUAUAAUUUCUUAUCUUCGGUGUUAGUUUUGUGGUUUCGAUCCAUUCAUGGUGUUUCCUUGCGAAAUUGAGAAGUUUCAUGUGUUUUUCUUUUCUUUUCUUUUUUUUUUUUUUUCAGAUCAGGAGGAUAUCAUAGGUACACUCAUUUAAUAUUUUUGUUUACAUGUUUUUAGUAUCUUCUUUAAUUUCCACUCUUCCACACCUUGUGAAAACGAUUUUCUACUUGUUAUUUUGAGCAAAUCCUUCCCCAAUCCUGCUUGAUCUGUUAGUUUAUUUCAUGUCUUCAUUAUUGUGCUUUAGAUCUCUAUCAUAUAUGGUAGUUUACUCUUAAUUUGUCAAGUUUUUAGUGGAGGUUAUUAAGUUAUAAGUUGUGAAUACAUUAUACUUUUACAUAUUUGAUGUGGAUAUGUUUUGGAUCUUAAGCUUCAACUAUAAGUUGUGAAUACAUUAUACUUUUACAUAUAAUGAUGUCAUCUUGAAAUUCGACUUUGAUACAUCUCACAAUGCAUUUGUUAAAAUGACAGAAAAAAAUAAUGUUUUGUAUGUUUUGUAUUUAACUGUGAAUAUGUGUUUUAGACUAUGAGUAUUAUUUUAAGUUGUUUAUUUUAAAAUGUGAAUAUUAUUUUAACUUGUGAUUUUUUUUUAGUAAAAUUAAGUGUAAACUUUGAUAGAAUUGGGAGGGAGGAGGNAUAAUUAUAGAUAAAACAUAUGAAAAUGUCAUCUUGAAAUGGAACUUCAAUACAAUUCACAUGGUGUUCAUUAAAAUAAUUCAAAAAAUAAUGUUUUAUAUGUUUUGUAUUAAAUUGUGAAAGAUGUAUGAGUCAUUGUAUAAGUGUGAAUAUAUGUUUUAAAUUAGGAAUAUUGUUUGAAGUUGUGAUUUUAAAUUGUGAAAAUUAUUUUAGCUUGUGAUUUAUGAAAAUUAUUUUAGCAUGUGAUUUAAAAAAAAGAAAAAAUAAUUGUGAACUUAUAUAGAAUAGACAACAAAAGAUAAUUUCAAUAAAGCAUAUAAUAAUAUCAUCUUGAAAUUUGACUUUGAUACAACUCACAAAUGAUAGUUAAAUUUAUUGAAAAAGAAUGUUUUGUAUUUAUCUAUGAAUGGUGUAUGGAUCGCGGUAUUAAACUAUGAAUAUGUGUUUUAAAUUGUGAAUAUUUUAAGAUGUGAUUUUAAAAUGUGAAUAUUAUUUUACCAUUUGUUUGUUUUUUUGUUUUUUUUUUUUUUUUGUAAAAUUAUUUAUAAGCUUAGAUAGAAUAGGUAGUAAGAGUCUCAUAGAUCAUUUUAGAUAAAGCACAUGUAAAUGUCAUUUGAAAUUCAACUUUCAUGCAACUCACAAGAUAUUCAUUAAAAUAACUUUCAAAAGAAUGUUUUAUAUGUUUUAUAUAAAACAAUGAAUGAUGUAUGAGUCGUUGUAUUAAACAUUGAAUAUAUGUUUUAAAUUGUAAAUAUUAUUUUUAGCUUUUAUUUUAAAUUAUGAAUAUUAUUUUAACAUGUGAUUUAAAAAAGAAAUUAUUUUAACAUACUGAAAUUUGAUUUUGAUACAGUUCCUAAGGAUGUUUAUGUUAAAUAGAUUGAAAAAGAAUGUUUCAUAUGUUUUGUAUUUAACUAUGAAUGGUUUAUCAAUUGUUGUAUUAAACUAUAAAUACAUAUAUAAACUUUGAAUAUUGUUUUAAGUUGUGAUUUGAAACUGAUUAUAUUAACUGAACAUUUGAUUUUUUUUUGUAUAAUUAUUUGUGAACAAAUAUAGAAUGGGCAUAAAACCCCCAUAUCUUAAGGUGGUGGGAGGAGGUUGAAAUCAAUACUUAGUGGUGGCAACAUUAGGUAACAAUGGCAGUGGUUAUUGGAAUUGUUAGCGGUAUGCUGGAAUAAAAAUAGAAGUGGUGGUAUAUGUGGUUAGUGGUGACAAUGAUUUGUGGCGGUAUGUGGUAACUUAUGAUGACGAUGGUGGUGGUGAAAGUUCUAAAUUAGUGUAUAAUGUUUUUAUUAAUUUGUGAAUAAUUGAUAUGUUUGUCAAACUGUAACUGUAAAUAUGAUGUUUGAGUUGUGAAUUUUCUUCGCUGAAACAUGAAAAUGAUGUUUUGUCAUUUUUCAAUAAAAAAUCACAUAUUUUUUUUUAAUGAAAGUCUAAGAUAAGGAGUUCUUAUCUCUAAAAACAUAAAAUGACAAAAUCACCAUUAAUGAAAAAUUUCUAAAGUUUCUAAUUUUUUUAAUGUUUUUACAGAAUUACUAUUUCCAAAAAAUUAGAAUGACAAAAACAACCUUGAUGAAAAAAGGACAUCAAGUUCUUAACAUUUUUUGAAUUAAACUUAAAGACUAGCUGUGUUGUUAAUUUAAGGAAAAUUAGAAUGACAAAUACACUCUUAAUGAAAAAUUGCUCCUAGAGUUUCUAGUAUAUUUUUUCACUUUUUA